rnacentral:rRNA from 1 species
ACGCUCGACACCUACAGGAGGCAGCAGUGGGGAAUUUUGCGCAAUGGGGGCAACCCUGACGCAGCAACGCCGCGUGCGGGACGAAGGCCUUCGGGUCGUAAACCGCUUUCAGCAGGGAAGACAGCGACGGUACCUGCAGAAGAAGCCCCGGCUAACUACGUGCCACGNCGCCGUAGUAUGNGNGGCGUGNGAGAG